CGGUGGGGCGCGAGCUUCCUCGGGGAGGUCCCGGUCCCUGCCGCCCGCCUCCCGCCGCCGGCCGCCCGCCGCGUCCUUGGCCCGCCUCCAGGGGAACCUCGAUUUUCCGAAUUCCGGAAGGCUGGCCGUCCUUCGGCAACUGAUAAGGACAGGAGCGCACGGUAACCGAUCCUAACAAUACCCGGAAAGAAAUACCGGGCCGAGAAAGAACUAAUAAUAGCCGCCGGCUCGAGCUCUGCUCGCGUGCUCAGCGCUCUUAGGAACAAUAAUGACAACAACCACAAUAGCCACCAUUUAUUGAGGGCUAUGUCUGUGCCAGGCACGGUGCUGAGCGCUUUGCAGGCGACAACCCUGGGAGAACCCGCGGUCUUGGCCAUAAAUGAUGCCACAUCCAAACCACCUCCGACAGCCCACAGGGCUUUGGCCCCAGGUCCCAAGAGGCGCAGCCCCUGCAGGGUGUGAGUGGGUUCCUGCGGCCUCCGAUCCCCUGGCUCCAACUUUCAUGCCUAGCCCUUUGCAGCUGGGGACACCUGCUCAGACACAUGUGGCAUCUGGCCCACUCUGGGCCCCAGGCCUCCACCUUGGGGAUACCAGUUUUCAAGAAGAGGACUCGGGCCCUCAGAAUGGGACUCAGGUCAUUUCGGGCUCCAACACUUGCCAGCAGCCCUUCUGUCCCUUCCCACUCGCCACUGCUUCAGGCUCCUGAGAGUGCUGCUAAUGAUGACUGAAUAAGUAAGGCCGUAUUUAUGAAGUAUCUAUUCCAAUGAAAAUCCCACAGCGAUAUAAUAUUCACUGUUCACAGGAAAAUGCUGGCUUAAGCAAUCAGCAGUGACUGGUUAAUGCUUAGCAGGCUUUUGGGGCUUGGGACUGAGUGAUGCAGAAUAGCAAGGGAAAAGAAGAAUACUGGACUUGUUUUAGCUCUCCAGAUUAUACCAGAUUUUCGCCAUCAGCAUCAUAAAAAAUAAUGCUUAAGGUAAAUUGCCAGUUUUUG